AGAACGAACGCUGGCGGCAUGCCUAAUACAUGCAAGUCGAACGAACACUUCGGUGUUAGUGGCGCACGGGUGCGUAGCGCGUGGGAAUCUGCCCUUGGGUUCGGAAUAACAGUUGGAAACGACUGCUAAUACCGGAUGAUAUCGAAAGAUCAAAGAUUUAUCGCCCAGGGAUGAGCCCGCGUAGGAUUAGCUAGUUGGUGAGGUAAGGCUCACCAAGGCGACGAUCCUUAGCUGGUCUGAGAGGAUGAUCAGCCACACUGGGACUGAGACACGGCCCAGACUCCUACGGGAGCAGCAGUAGGGAAUA
rnacentral:rRNA from 1 species